ACUGCCCCUCGAGGCGUUGCAGUCCAACUGUUGAGUGUUGCAGCUGUGUCAUGAGGGGCAGAGAGAGAGAGCGGUGGUGGUCUGCACUGAGACUCUGACGACACCGAGGGCUCGGAGUGAUUUUGUCACCACCCACA
ensembl:snoRNA small nucleolar RNA SNORA17